GACAGAGGGGGCAAGCGUUGCUCGGAAUCACUGGGCGUAAAGGGCGCGUAGGCGGGAUGGCAAGUCGGUCGUGAAAUCCUUCGGCUCAACCGAAGAACGUCGGCCGAUACUGCCGUUCUUGAGGGAUGCAGAGGAGAUUGGAAUUCCCGGUGUAGCGGUGAAAUGUGUAGAGAUCGGGAGGAACACCGGUGGCGAAGGCGGGUCUCUGGGCAUCUCCUGACGCUGAGGCGCGAAAGCGUGGGGAGCAAAAGGG
rnacentral:rRNA from 1 species